UACGAAGGGGGCUAGCGUUGUUCGGAUUUACUGGGCGUAAAGCGCACGUAGGCGGAUUGUUAAGUCAGGGGUGAAAUCCCGGAGCUCAACUCCGGAACUGCCUUUGAUACUGGCAAUCUUGAGGCUGGAAGAGGUUAGUGGAAUUCCCAGUGUAGAGGUGAAAUUCGUAGAUAUUGGGAAGAACACCAGUGGCGAAGGCGGCUAACUGGUCCAGAUCUGACGCUGAGGUGCGAAAGCGUGGGGAGCAAACGGG
rnacentral:rRNA from 1 species